GAUGAAGAACGUAGCGAAAUGCGAUAAGUAAUGUGAAUUGCAGAAUUCAGUGAAUCAUCGAAUCUUUGAACGCACAUUGCGCCCAUUAGCAUUCUAGUGGGCAUGGCUGUUCGAGCGUCAUUUCAACCCUUAAGCCCUGUUGCUUAGCGUUGGGAGCCUACAGUACUGUAGCUCCCCAAAGUUAGUGGCGGAGUCGGUUUCACACUCUAGACGUAGUAAUUUUUUCUCGUCUGUAGUUGAGCCGGUCCCCUGCCGUAAAACACCCAAUUUAUCAAGGUUGACCUCGGAUCAGGUAGGAAUACCCGCUGAACUUAAGCAUAUCAAUAAGCGGAGGA
rnacentral:misc_RNA from 1 species